rnacentral:rRNA from 1 species
AACGAACGCUGGCGGCAUGCUUAACACAUGCAAGUCGAACGAGACCUUCGGGUCUAGUGGCGCACGGGUGCGUAACGCGUGGGAAUCUGCCCUUUGCUACGGAAUAACUCAGAGAAAUUUGUGCUAAUACCGUAUAAUGUCGAAAGACCAAAGAUUUAUCGGCAAAGGAUGAGCCCGCGUAGGAUUAGCUAGUUGGUGAGGUAAAGGCUCACCAAGGCGACGAUCCUUAGCUGGUCUGAGAGGAUGAUCAGCCACACUGGGACUGAGACACGGCCAAGACUCCUGCGGGAGGAAGCAGUGUGGAAUAUUGGACAACGGGCGAAAGCCUGAUCCAGCAAUACCGCGUGAGUGAUGAAGGCCUUAGGGUUGUAAAGCUCUUUUACCAGGGAUGAUAAUGACAGUACCUGGAGAAUAAGCUCCGGCUAACUCCGUGCCAGCCGCCGCGGUAA